AAAAUAACUAAAACGUUUUAAAACAAAAUAAAUUAAUAAAAGUGUUUAACUUUGUCAAGUUUAAAAACUCCUUAAUGAACUAUUGACUGUUGAAAAAUGGAUGGCAAUUAAACCAAUGAAUGAUCCAUUAUAAUGCAGUUAUUUUGUACCAAUGGAUUUGAUUGGAUAACAGCUAGCUUAAAGUUCUCAGUAUUUUCUGGAAUUUUUGGUUCACCUAGCUCUGCCACUUGUCUCAUGGCAAACUCAGGCUUACAAUACAAUUUGAAUAUCUCCUUAUUAUUACAAAAUAUCAUACUUAUGAAGAUUUUAUGAUAUAAAUUAAACUUUCCCAAAAUCAAGUGUGCAAAAUGGCAAAAAUACAGAAAAAAAAUCUUUCAUUGAUUAAAUGCAAUAUUGAAAAAUAAUAACUAUACUAUUGAGGGUUCUUGAGAAAAAUAAUCUGAACACAAUUUUUUUGCUUUCGAGCAUGAACUGUGUAUGAAGGUGUUUCACACUUUGAUCAGUGAUGUACUAUCUAUGAGGUUUGAUGUGCUUAUCGAUCUGAAGUUGAGGAAUAAAACACAAAACAGCAUCACACCUGAUGCAAAGACAGUCAUGGUAUAUCAAAAGCCACAUUUCUGUGUAACAUAAAAAUGCAAGUAACUAAAACUAAACAAACAGAAUGAAGAAGAAAACAAGUUUCACCAUGCAGACCUGCUGUUUAAAACACAGAUAUGUAUAAAACGUAACAGUUGUACAAAUCUUUAAAAUCAUGAGUUAAAAAUACAAAGUAACAAUAUAUACAUAUCACAGAAAAGCACAUAUUGGAUUUCUAUUAUGAUUAGAGAUACAAUACUAAAUAUAUGGAUAUGGUAUGUUAAUUUGCCCCUUUAACAAGUGUCAUCUGAAGAUAAAUACAUUAAGAAUUUCCCCAAAUCCUUUAUAUCAGCACUGACAUUAGGGUGAAAUAUGAAAUACAAACUACUUACAAUUUAUCAUUAACAAAAACAAUUAUAACAAACAUAUCAAAUUUUACUCAUAAAUUCAUAAUAAAUCAACAGUUCUCUAAAUCUACUCAUUCAAUUUCUUUGCAGAAGAAUCUUUACUUCAUAAAAUAUAACCCAGUAAAACCUGCUCCUUAACAUAGUCUAAACAAGAAUGUGUCCCCAGUACAUGGAUGCCCCACUCGCACUAUCAUUUUCUAUGUUCAGUGAAACGUGAAAUUGGGGUCAGAACUCUAAUUUGACAUUAAAAUUAGGAAGAUCAUACCAUAAGGAACAUAUAUACUAAGUUUCAGGUUGAUUGGACUUCAACUUCAUCAAAAACUACCUCAACCAAAAACUUUAACCUGAAACUGGACAGACGAACGAACAAAUGGACGGACGGAUGAACAGACGGACGGACACACGGGCGCACAGACCAAAAAACAUAAUAGAUAUUAUGCCCAGAUAUACUUUCCUACAGCUAUUUCUCAUUUUAAAUAUGUUUCAACUAAAAAAUAAAGCUAACUCUCAUUGCUAAAAUGUUUCCCUAAAUUCAAAACAACUAGCAAAUUACACAAAACUUGCAUUAGCUUUGCAUUCUAUUUCAAAUUGUUUGGAAUUUUACAGUUGUUUGUCUAGCAAACUAUUACUAAACCUUAAGGUGGUACCCAACACAUUCACUGAAAUUUAUUUGCCUCGUUUAAUUUUCAUAAAAUUUUGACAAAUGAUUUACUUUGACCCUAUGACAAAAAUAUAAAAAUUUCCAAAAAUUUGAACCAACCAUUUUAUCAGAAAAAUUACACUGGUUAUUUAGCAGUUUG
rnacentral:lncRNA from 1 species